UAGGGAAUCUUCCGCAAUGGACGCAAGUCUGACGGAGCAACGCCGCGUGAGUGAAGAAGGAUUUCGGUUCGUAAAACUCUGUUGUUAGAGAAGAACAGCGCAUAGAGUAACUGUUAUGCGUGUGACGGUAUCUAACCAGAAAGCCACGGCUAACUACGUGCCAGCAGCCGCGGUAAUACGUAGGUGGCAAGCGUUGUCCGGAUUUAUUGGGCGUAAAGCGAGCGCAGGCGGUCAAUUAAGUCUGAUGUGAAAGCCCCCGGCUCAACCGGGGAGGGUCAUUGGAAACUGGUUGACUUGAGUGCAGAAGAGGAGAGUGGAAUUCCAUGUGUAGCGGUGAAAUGCGUAGAUAUAUGGAGGAACACCAGUGGCGAAGGCGACUCUCUGGUCUGUAACUGACGAUGAGGCUCGAAAGCGUGGGUAGCAAACAGG
rnacentral:rRNA from 1 species